GACAAGGCCUUCCUUUCUCUUUCUUGGCAGUUCUCAAAUAGCAUCGUUGCUGAGAAAGACCUAAGCUAAGAUAGAAGCUGAGCUGAAGCAAGUAGUAAGCCCUCCACAGUUGUGGUUUUGACUUUAGUGGAUUUGAUCAUUCAUGGAUUUGAUUAAAAUGCCCCUUCUAGCACUCUCUAGGUCCUCCAGCAGGAUUCUGUGGUCAGCUUUACCAAAAUUUGUUUAUAGGGUCAUGCUGGCAGACCUAGUGAUUCCUAGAGUGAACACUUUUCUAGGCAUCUCUAGGUUCUCUAGUAUGAUCGGGUAGAAAGUGAAUCUAGUGUCAUGCUGGAGAAGCUGAAUAUUCCUAGAGAGGUGUUCUCUCAAGUAAAACAAAAGCAACUUGUCGUCUUGUGGUAUUUUGUAUGUUAACCCCAGUGAACGUGGAGGGCUGGAUGUAUCUCCUUGUGUUUCCCAACACUGUAGCAAUUACUUCAGGCUUUAUUUUUACACAGGGCAUGCUGAUCUCCUUCCAAUGAUACUAGACAUAUUUUCCCUUCAACUCACAGGUAACUUUGUGCAGGCUGUUUGAUGUCCCAUGUUUGGUGGCUAGGUUUUUAAAGUUCUGCUUUUGAUUGUAGAGUUGGCCGAUUCUGGAUUCAGGUGGUCUCUUAUGAAACCUGCUUAAGUGAGUCUUCUCCUGUCAAAGAAAACUAUCAGAAUGUCUUUCGCAGGUCUUGGAUUCAAAGCGUAAGGUGCAGAGGGAUAGCGCUGGCAUUCAAGAUAUAGUAAUGCUACAUUAGCAGCAGUCUUAUAAUAGUGUCUGAGGAUUUACUGUAUUUAGAGAAAUUAAUCUUUUUUAGCUUGGUAAUAAUUCUAAUAAUAGGCAUGAGUGCAUUAGAUGAUUCGCAUAAACUUCUUUAAUACAUGUUGCUUUAAGCUUACAGCAAAUAGACACAAUCCUGAUUGUGUUUUUUUUAAUUCUCAGUGUAAUACAGUUUCGUAACAGUCCUAAGUACUUUACCUUUUUAGUUUUAUUGUGAAGACAGAUAAGAAGAUUUUCUGUUCUCGCUCCUCUCUACCUCCUCCAUUUCAUUAUAGUGUUUAUUUGCGAAGUGCAGUCGGACUUAAAUUAGUUGGCUCAUAUGUAUUGUCAUGUUUGUGUUGUUUUAGCCAUGGGUGUAUCAGGUUAUGAAGAUGGGGUUUUCCUCCACUUUCAAUAUUAAUAUUUUGCCAGCAGAGACUAUGUGGUAUACUUUCAGUAAUGAACUCAGCAAGCCAUGUGGGAGAAUGUGGUAUAUUUUCAACAGGAACUUUCCCAUUUUUAGAAACUCAAGAUGCUUUGUGCAGAGAUUGCGCACAUAUUAAUAUUUCUCUCAGACCUGGAAAAACAUCCAAAAUAAAUGCUUGUGCAUUGUUUUGGGUUCGUUCUGUGUAACUUUGGUGACUAACUCAAUGUGAAGAUGAAAAGACAAUUUUUCAUGUUUGAAAGGGAGUUAGAAGAUAAUUAAUUGUGUAGAAGCUAUUAAAGCAUAUCAAACCGAACACAGAAUCUUGCUCUAUACUUUCCUUAUUAUUGUUCUGAUACAGAACAUCUGGUGCAAAAGCUGGACCGAGUGUCAAAACACAGGAGGCCCAUGCCUGGAAAAUCUUGUUGCUCCGAGCCUUGGGCUUAUAGGGCAGUUGAUUUGUGGCUUAAGAUAAAGCCAGGAUAUGUUUCUCCCACCUUCUCCUGGCCCCUGCUCCCAUAGACCCCUGUGGAGGCUGGCAAAAUAAGUACCCAGCAUAUAGCUUAAAUGGGAAGCCUUUUGAACUGCUAAUGAAUGAAUGGUGACUCAUCCAGAAAGACUCCCAACCAGACUGGAGGAUAGUUGGCUGCGUGAUUUGGAAUGACACGAUACAGAGGUUUUCGGUGCAGUCUCUGAAAAGAACGUACAGGAUUGCAAGAACACGUUAAUAGCUACUUGUGUUUAUGUUCUAAGAAAAGCAUUUUCACAGGGUGCGGGUUGUGCAAAUCAUCACAGCAGUGGACAUAUGACUAAUGUCGCAAAUGGUGUAAAAAUAAACUACUUUCAUAGUUUGUCAGAACGACUGGCAAAAAUGUUGUGUUAAGCUGUUAAUGGCUAUCUGGCUACUUUCGAAGAUGUGUGCCACUUCUGACUUACAGAAGCAGUUUGCACCUCUUUGUGCAUUGCUUUAUCAUUGGACACCGGUAGUGCUUUUUUUUUUCUGUGUCAGAAGUGACUUGAGAAACUCCAAGUCGCUUCUGGUGUGAGAGAAUUGGCCAUCUGCAAGGACGUUGCCCAGGGGACGCCCAGAUGUUUUUAUGUUUUACCAUCCUUGUGGGAGGCUUCUUUCAUGUCCCCGCAUGGGGAGCUGGAGCUGACAGAGGGAGCUUAUUCACGCUCUUCCCGGAUUCAAACCUCCAACCUGUCGGUCUUCAGUCCUGCCGGCACUAGGUUUAACCCACUGUGCCACCUGGGGCUUCACCGAUAGCGCUUCGAGAUAACAUAAACUGGGGGAAACCACAGAAACUGAUGCAUGUUUACCCAAUCACUCCAAUUUAUUGUGAGCAAGGCUGAACACAGGACAAAUCUUUAUUUUCUGGGUAUUUUAAAACAAUCAUGGUGUCUGAACUUGAUAGUUUGCCCUGUCCCAAGUUUUAGAAAGAAAUCACAAAGCUUUGUCUAUGUUGUGCAGUUAUAGAUCUACAGCUAUGUCUUCAUUUAGUCAACAUGUUGAAUCACCAGAAAAGACGAGAGCAAUCAAAACAACCUGCAUCCAAGCUGCAAUUGAUACUCGGAAAACUGUGGUUCCAUAUGUGUUCUGGCUUACUGCUAUGUCCAAGUAUGGCCAAAUUCCUAAUGUUAUUAUUUAGUCACUCUUUAGUGACAGAAUUUUUUUGUUGCUUGUGGUGGGACUGAAAAAAAAAAGAUUUGUCUUAAAUGAAGAGAGCGCCUAGCCCGUUAUGUAUAAAAGGCAGGCAUUGUGUACAUGUUGAAAUGCAUUUAAAACCUGGCAUCAUUUCCUUUGCAUGCUUCUUUCCCAUUGUUUAUGGUUGAGGUGUGGCUACUUGGACGCAUAAGAAGCAAAUCUCUCCAGAUCAGUAGGCCUGGGGAAUACAUGCUUCAAAGAAUGGGAAACCAUGCUUCAUUAGCAGCCUGUCUAACAGCCCUUGCAUGCUGUGUAACUUCCAUUUCAUUUCCCAAUAUAACUAUAUGAUAAUAGAAGCAGCAGGAGCAACAAGCAAUUUCCCCAAAGAACAUUUCUAUAUUGAAAAAAAAAACAAGAAAAA